rnacentral:rRNA from 1 species
UACGUAGGGGGCAAGCGUUGUCCGGAAUCAUUGGGCGUAAAGAGCGUGUAGGCGGCCAGAUAAGUCCGCUGUGAAAUCUCGAGGCUCAACUUCGAGCUGUCGGUGGAAACUGUCUGGCUAGAGUCCGGAAGAGGAGAAUGGAAUUCCUGGUGUAGCGGUGAAAUGCGCAGAUAUCAGGAAGAACACCCGUGGCGAAGGCGGUUCUCUGGGACGGUACUGACGCUGAGACGCGAAAGCGUGGGGAGCGAA